ensembl:misc_RNA Metazoa_SRP Metazoan signal recognition particle RNA
GCUGGGCAUGGUGGUGCAUGCCUGUAAUUCCAGCUACUUGGGAAGCUGAGGCAGGAGAAUCACUUGAACCCAGGAGGCAGAGGUUUCAGUGAGCCGAGAUCUUGCCACUGCAAGCCAGCCUGGGUGACAGAGUGAGACUCUAUCUCAA